ensembl:lncRNA
AUGACACACAAACUUUUUCUCAAAGAUUUUUCUCAAGGAUGCAGUCAAAAGAGAUCAGAUCCAGAGCCCAGCUGUGUGUCUAUGAGGAGUGACCAGUCUAUGGAUCAUAUAAUAGAGUUAAAGAGUGGAAAUACACAGCCUGAUCUCAGUUCAGUUCAUCAGAGGAGAUCAGAACCAGAAGCCAGGUGUGUGUCUAUGAAGAGUGAGAGCCGUGAAGUCCUCAACACGUUUAGAUCAAAUCUGAUAAAGAAGUUUCAGUGUAUUUAUGAAGGAGCAGCAAAGCAGGGAAACCCAACACUCCUGAAUGAGGUCACACAGAGCUCUACAUCACAGAGAGUGAGAGUGGAGAGAUCAGUAAUGAGCACGAGGUGAGACAGAUUGAGACACAAUCCAGGAGAGCAGCAACAGAGGACACACCGAUCAAAUGCAGUGACAUCUUUAGACCUUUACCUGGACAAGACAAAGCCAUCAGAACUGUGCUGACACUGAGAAUCAGGACGUCCAGCUCAUAUUUCCUCUUCCAAUCUGAUGAAGGACAAAACACUCAGUCUUUCAGAUCUUCUUCAUAUCUGUUUCACUGAAUCAAAAGAAAUAGAAAUAUCCAGUGAUAAAUAUAAAGUGUUUUUGUACAGUCAUAUGACUUAUUACAUGCCUUUUCACCAAAUAAAUAAUUACAUGAAAUAUUCA